GGGGUGAGUGUUGUGAUUAUGAUUUGGGAGCAAUGUAAAGUUUGAAAGAAAAGAAUGGACUCUUUGUGUUUAAGUGAAUUGUCUUAUUGGGAUAAGUAGAGAAGUCUCUAGCUCAAGUUAUGAAAAGUCUUGGCCCCCACCAAAAAAAAAAAAAAAAAAGAGAAAACGAAAAAAAAAAACGAGAAAAGAAAGAAAAAGGGGGCUAGCAAAAUUGUUAGGAGCUAAGAAAUGUUUUGAGGUUGUGGAAAAUCCCUUGUAGAUUCCAAAGAGAAAGAGUUAAUGUUCUUAGGAUCUUUUGGUGAGAGAUGUGAGUUGGGUUUGACAUUG
rnacentral:lncRNA from 1 species